rnacentral:rRNA from 1 species
GGUGAGUAAUGCAUCGGAACGUGCCCAGUCGUGGGGGAUAACGCAGCGAAAGCUGUGCUAAUACCGCAUACGAUCUACGGAUGAAAGCGGGGGACCGAAAGGCCUCGCGUGAUUGGAGCGGCCGAUGUCAGAUUAGCUAGUUGGUGGGGUAAAGGCCCACCAAGGCGACGAUCUGUAGCUGGUCUGAGAGGACGACCAGCCACACUGGGACUGAGACACGGCCCAGACUCCUACGGGAGGCAGCAGUGGGGAAUUUUGGACAAUGGGCGCAAGCCUGAUCCAGCAAUGCCGCGUGCAGGAAGAAGGCCUUCGGGUUGUAAACUGCUUUUGUACGGAACGAAACGGUCCGGGUUAAUACCCUGGGCUAAUGACGGUACCGUAAGAAUAAGCACCGGCUAACUACGUGCCAGCAGCCGCGGUAAUACGUAGGGUGCAAGCGUUAAUCGGAAUUACUGGGCGUAAAGCGUGCGCAGGCGGUUUUGUAAGACAGGCGUGAAAUCCCCGGGCUCAACCUGGGAAUGGCGCUUGUGACUGUGAAACUGGAGUGCGGCAGAGGGGGAUGGAAUUCCGCGUGUAGCAGUGAAAUGCGUAGAUAUGCGGAGGAACACCGAUGGCGAAGGCAAUCCCCUGGGCCUGCACUGACGCUCAUGCACGAAAGCGUGGGGAGCAAACAGGAUUAGAUACCCU